GGAGGGUUAUUGGGGUCCUGGGGGUUCCUUGUGACCAUCCAGCACACCAGCCAGCCCCUCAGCACUCUCCUGUGAGUCUGGGGGGUCCUGGGGGUUUGGGGUGUCUCUGGGUUUGGGGACUUCCUGUGUUUGGGGCAUCCCUCAGGUUUGGGGUGUCCCCGUGUCCAGGGUCCCUGGUUCUGUAGGAUCCAUGGCUUUGGGCUGCCCCUGGCGCUGGAUUAUCCCUGUUUUUGGGUACCCCCAUCUCUGGGGUCCCUGUCUCUGGGUUAUCCCUGGCUUUGGGGUGUCCCUGUCUUGGGGGUCCCUGACUCUGGGCUCCCUGGUUUACGGAUACCCCCAUCCCCAGGCACCCCUUCCCCAGUGGUCCCUGGCUGUGCUCCCCAGGUUCUCCAAGGUGGUCCCUGGUUCUGGGCUGUCCCCCUCCCCGGUGGUCCCUGACUGUGCCCCC